ensembl:lncRNA
CAGCUACUCUGCCCUGCUUCGUUUUUUCCUUUGCUUUACUAAAUAUCCGAACUCCCCGCAUACUCUGCAGUCUCUGAUACUAGAUGAAUUUUUUCUCUAAAAUUGCAGGACCACAGUGGUCUUUUCAUCUGACUUCACUGACUGUAUGAAUUCCAUCCAACUGGUGGCCUCAGACCAGGUACAAUCAAGUGUGCUUAUUGUAAACAGGAUCCCAGUGGACAGAGGUUUGCAAAGGCAUACAUUCAAAAGCCUGACCCCCAUCAAGAUCCAUCUUUUUUAGGUGAAAUUCAUCACCCAGCUUCCAAGCCUAGAACCCAGUUCUGCUGGGGGAAGUGAUGAGAUCUCAAGUGGGAACAGGAGGUCCCUCUGACAUGCUGCUUGAACUCCAGGCAGGACACGGUUCCAUUUACUCUCCCAGUGGAACACCGCAUUGCUUCCUCUUGCUCUCUUCCAACAGAGACGAUCUAGGGAAGGACAAGGACCAAGUAAGAGGAGGAAAUAGUGACUAAACUACAGCUGCAAAUCAGAGCAGCUUACUAGCAUCAAAAAAAGAGAAAAGAAAGAAAUCUGUUUAUGGAGCACAACAUUCCUUCUUUGACACAACUCAAGGAAGGCAACAGCCAUGUUGUAAGGAUGCUCACCUAGCCUGUGGAGAUGCCUGCAUGGUAAGGAGCUUCUCCUAAGAUCCUGCAAGGAACUUGAGAGCUAUCACCGAUAAAACCAG